rnacentral:tRNA from 1 species
GGGGAUGUAGUAUAGUGGUAUUAUGUUCGCUUCGCAUUCUCUCUCUCGCCCUCUUUAGCCCUUAGCUUAAGAGAUCUAACGAGUUGAUAUCCCAUGUGUGAUUGUGAAAGGUCCCCGGUUCGAUCCCGGGCAUCUCCA